rnacentral:rRNA from 1 species
GUGGGGAAUAUUGCACAAUGGGCGCAAGCCUGAUGCAGCAACGCCGCGUGAGGGACGACGGCCUUCGGGUUGUAAACCUCUUUUAGCAGGGAAGAAGCGAAAGUGACGGUACCUGCAGAAAAAGCACCGGCUAACUACGUGCCAGCAGCCGCGGUAAUACGUAGGGUGCAAGCGUUGUCCGGAAUUAUUGGGCGUAAAGAGCUCGUAGGCGGUUUGUCGCGUCUGCUGUGAAAACCCGAGGCUCAACCUCGGGCCUGCAGUGGGUACGGGCAGACUAGAGUGCGGUAGGGGAGAUUGGAAUUCCUGGUGUAGCGGUGGAAUGCGCAGAUAUCAGGAGGAACACCGAUGGCGAAGGCAGAUCUCUGGGCCGUAACUGACGCUGAGGAGCGAAAGCAUGGGGAGCGAACAGGAUUAGAUACCCUGGUAGUCC